rnacentral:rRNA from 1 species
GAUGAACGCUGGCGGCGUGCCUAAUACAUGCAAGUCGAGCGAACAGACGAGGAGCUUGCUCCUCUGACGUUAGCGGCGGACGGGUGAGUAACACGUGGAUAACCUACCUAUAAGACUGGGAUAACUUCGGGAAACCGGAGCUAAUACCGGAUAAUAUAUUGAACCGCAUGGUUCAAUAGUGAAAGACGGUUUUGCUGUCACUUAUAGAUGGAUCCGCGCCGCAUUAGCUAGUUGGUAAGGUAACGGCUUACCAAGGCAACGAUGCGUAGCCGACCUGAGAGGGGGCUCGGCCAACCGGGACGUGGGAACCGGCCCAGACACCGCGGGGGGGAAGGGGGGGGGAAUUUUCCGAAAGGGGGGAAAGCCUGAGGGGGAAACGCCGCGGGAGUGAGAAAGGGUUUGGGAUCGUAAAACUUUUUUAUUAGGGAAGAAAAAAUGUGUAAGUAACCAUGCCCGUCUUGGCGGUACCAAAUAAAAAACCCCCGGCAAACAGGGG